rnacentral:rRNA from 1 species
AACGUACGCUGGCGGCACGCCUAACACAUGCAAGUCGAACGAAGUAGCAAUACUUAGUGGCAGACGGGUGAGUAACAUGUAGGUAUCUGCCCUUUGGCCUGGAAUAACACGAGGAAACUUGUGCUAAUACCGGAUAAGUCUUUACGGAGAAAGCUUUAUGCACCAUUGGAUGAGCCUGCACUUGACUAGUUUGUUGGUGGGGUAAUGGCCUACCAAGACUGUGAUCAAUAGCUGAUUUGAGAGGAUGAUCAGCCACAUUGGGACUGAGACACGGCCCAAACUCCUACGGGAGGCAGCAGUGGGGAAUCUUGCACAAUGGAGGAAACUCUGAUGCAGCGAUGCCGCGUGAGUGAAGAAGGCCCUUGGGUUGUAAAGCUCUUUCGUCGGGGAAGAAAAUGACUGUACCCGAAUAAGAAGGUCCGGCUAACUUCGUGCCAGCAGCCGCGGUAAUACGAAGGGACCUAGCGUAGUUCGGAAUUACUGGGCUUAAAGAGUUCGUAGGUGGUUGAAAAAGUUAGUGGUGAAAUCCCAGAGCUUAACUCUGGAACUGCCAUUAAAACUUUUCAGCUAGAGUAUGAUAGAGGAAAGCAGAAUUUCUAGUGUAGAGGUGAAAUUCGUAGAUAUUAGAAAGAAUACCAAUUGCGAAGGCAGCUUUCUGGAUCAUUACUGACACUGAGGAACGAAAGCAUGGGUAGCGAAGAGGAUUAGAUACCCUCGUAGUCCAUGCCGUAAACGAUGUGUGUUAGACGUUGGAAAUUUAUUUUCAGUGUCGCAGGGAAACCGAUAAACACACCGCCUGGGGAGUACGACCGCAAGGUUAAAACUCAAAUGAAUUGACGGGGACCCGCACAAGUAGUGGAGCAUGUGGUUUAAUUCGAAGAUACGCGCAGAACCUUACCAACACUUGACAUGUUCGUCGCGACUCUAAGAGAUUAGAGUUUUCGGUUCGGCCGGACGAAACACAGGUGCUGCAUGGCUGUCGUCAGCUCGUGUCGUGAGAUGUUGGGUUAAGUCCCGCAACGAGCGCAACCCUCACUUUUAGUUGCCAUCAUUAAGUUGGGCACUCUGAAAGAACUGCCAGUGAUAAGCUGGAGGAAGGUGGGGAUGACGUCAAGUCCUCAUGGCCCUUACGUGUUGGGCUACACACGUGCUACAAUGGUAUCUACAACAGGAAGCAAGACUGCGAAGUUAAGCAAAUCCCUAAAAGAUACCUCAGUUCGGAUUGCACUCUGCAACUCGAGUGCAUGAAGCUGGAAUUACUAGUAAUCGUGGAUCAGCGUGCCACGGUGAAUGCGUUCCCGGGUCU